rnacentral:lncRNA from 1 species
AAGAGGGGAGUCCCUUGGACUCAAACCAUGAGGGGUUCAUGCAACAAAAGAGAUGAGAAUUAGUAAGAGAGGUUGAGAGUGAAAACAUUAUCUAAAGUUAACAGACAAAACAAUAGUCCUUUCUUAAAUUGGCUUAAAGUAUCAAUCCGGAAAGCAACAUAAUCAAUUAAACUCUAAAGAGAAAAAAUAUAUGACAACAAGUAAGACAUGUUUAUAACUUAGAUGUUUAUGUUGAAACACAAAGGUAGAACAAAUUAAUCCACAUUCCACAUAAGAUAAAAAAUAUCACAUCUUUAUGAGAAAGUCCAAAUGAAGCCCAAAAUGGAAACAAUAAAUAAGUUGCUAAUAUUACUUCCAUUGUAUUAACCUGAUUAUGACAAAUACAUACAAGAAUUUAUAAUCAUAUGUCAGGAAACAACAACUGGACAUAUUAACGAAACAAAUAAAAUGUACGGAGAGGGGAGGGAGCAUGCCAUUAUUUCUGGGAAGUUGACAGUCACAGAAAACUCAUUCAUGAUUUGAUCAUACAUAUCCUAGACAGGACCAUUUAAGUAUUAUAUUCAUAUGAAAUCUAACACUGAUGGUCGAGAAACGAACAACCACAUGCCGCAAAAUCAAAUAUCUGGGAACUUUAUGGGUCAUCUGGAAGCCUACACGUAUUUAUACACAUACAAACCAGCCUACACAUGUAAUUUAAACACAAAAUAACAUAUUAUAUAGUUCCAACAAUGGGGAAAUUCACACACAGUUGGGAUCCAAGGACAAACUUUUAUAACUCCAAUUGUCAACUCAUUAUCUUUUCAAAAGCACAUUCAAUGAACUUUCAGGAAAAAGAAAAAAAAGACAGACAAUCUGUAAUACGCUUGCACAAGAACAUAUAUUCAUAGCAGAAUUAUGCACACAAUAAAAAUACCUUAACUUCUUAGUCCUGGUUUCAAAUUUUUUCCAGUUAGAUGAACAAUAACAAUGUCACUCUUAAUAAGGCUAAACUAAGAUAGAUUUCAAACCAACAAACAACUGAUAUAUCGAUAACAUCAUUCAAACACAAAUUCCUAUCGCCUUCAAGGCGUCUAUAACAAAUAGUAUCAUUCUUAAUUUUAACAAAAAUUGCUGCUAACGAAAAGAAGGGGACGAAGGAAAAUCGACAUAUUAACUAGAGAGUGAGUUUACCUUUUUUAGGGCAGUAAACUGAAAUUUAUGAGCUCUUCAUCAGAUUAUUCCUUCACACCACUGAAAAACGAACUCAAUUUCUUAUCUUAGAAUUUUGAGCUCAAAUGAUUCUUAUUAAAUUUAUCAGCACUGAAAUCUUCGGUCUUAGCAAAAUUUCAUGCUUUUUGACCUCUCCAACCUUUUUCUUCAAUGAGAAUAGUAGAGUAUUUAUUUAUACAGAUAUUUGGAAUGGGAUUUCAAAGAAAACAACAAUGUGGGAUAAGGGACUUUGAGGGACGUUUUUGGUAGUUUCAAAAGGGAAAAUUCAAAUUUCGAAUUAGGGAUAAGCUUGUGACAUGUAUUUGGUAAGAGAUCGUACCACCCCUUCCUUGAAUCGGAUUGAAGGGCGACCUGGAUGUUUCUAGGACGUUGUACGUGCUAUCCACGUGAGAAUCACGUGAUACUUAGAGAGAGAAGAUUAAUUAGAUACGAGAACAGGAAUUUUAGGUUAGGAUUCAAAAGAUGAAUCCCAGAUAUUGAAGCCGCUGAUGUUGUUGUCGUUUAUGCAUUUGUUUUUGUCUGAUGAAGUUGCUGGCUAUUGGACGUUGUUUGACUAUUGAUGGUAAUUUGGUAUCGGGUUUGCCGUUGUUGAAGUUGUUUUGUCGGGUAAAAAAGGAAAGGAAUCAGAGUUGGGUCGGGUUGGUGUGGUGGUUUUUACUGAAACAAAUGGGCAUGGGGU